UUUUAUAUAGUAUAAAAAUUACAUUUUAUUUCCAAUAAAAAAAUUUAAAUUAAAUUAAUAUAAAAA
rnacentral:tRNA from 1 species